UACGUAGGGUGCAGGCGUUAAUCGGAAUUACUGGGCGUAAAGCGUGCGCAGGCGGCUUUGCAAGACAGAUGUGAAAUCCCCGGGCUUAACCUGGGAACUGCAUUUGUGACUGCAUGGCUAGAGUUUGGCAGAGGGGGGGGUAGAAUUCCACGUGUAGCAGUGAAAUGCGUAGAUAUGUGGAGGAACACCGAUGGCGAAGGCAGCCCCCUGGGUCAAGACUGACGCUCAUGCACGAAAGCGUGGGGAGCAAACAGG
rnacentral:rRNA from 1 species